rnacentral:rRNA from 1 species
GACGAACGCUGGCGGCGUGCUUAACACAUGCAAGUCGAACGGAAAGUCCCUGCUUUUGUGGGGUGCUCGAGUGGCGAACGGGUGAGUAACCCUUGAGUAACCUGCCCUUGACUUUGGGAUAACUUCAGGAAACUGGGGCUAAUACCGCAUAGGAGCUCCUGCCGCUUGGUGGGGGUUGGAUAGUUUCGGCGGUUGGGGAUGGACUCGCGCCUUAUCAGCUUGUUGGUGGGGUAGUGGCUUACCAAGGCUUUGACGGGUAGCCGGCCUGGGCGGGUGACCGGCCACAUUGGGACGGAGAUACGGCACAGACUCCUACGGGAGGCAGCGGUGGGGAAUAGUGCACAAUGGGCGGGAGGCAGAUGCAGCAACGCCGCGUGGGGGAUGACGGGAUUCGGGUUGUAAACCGCUUUCGCCUGUGACGAAGCGUGAGUGACGGUAAUGGGUAAAGAAGCACCGGCUAACUACGUG